GUCCAGAAGGCUUAGGGUUAAGAAUUAUUGGAAUGGGUGUUGGAGCUGAUGCCGGAGUGGAAAAACUUGGUAUAUUUGUGAAAACAGUUACUCCAAAUGCUGAUAGAGAUGGAAGAAUCAGUCAAUGAUCAGAUUACGGAAGUUGAUGUAAAAUCCCUUGUUGGUGUAACUCAAGCUUAUGCAGCCACUGUAUUAAGAAAUACUUCAGGACCAGUGUGGUACAUUUUGUUUUGUGUUAUUCAGUGGUUGAUAUUUUUUAUUUAUUUCUAUUUCUAUUGUUAUUUUUUGACCUUAAAAUGUUUUCUCCAAAGUAAGGAUAUAAGGAAUAGUAAUUUGGCAGAAUACCAAAUAUUUGACCAAAAAAAAUCGGCCUACUGAAUAUUAAGCGGCCAAAUAGCAACAUUUUGUUUUUAAAAAAAUUAAUUAAUAAAUAUUUUUUUACUUUAAAAUUAAUCAAACUUAGCUAUAUUACUGGUUUGGGGUAAAAAAAAAGCUAUAAUAGUUAUUCAUUAAAAAUAUUUAGGAUAAAUAAAAAACUGACUAACAGCUAUGAAAAAAAUAAAGUUGAAAAAA